CUCAGGACGAACGCUGGCGGCGUGCCUAAUACAUGCAAGUCGAGCGGACAGAUGGGAGCUUGCUCCCUGAUGUUAGCGGCGGACGGGUGAGUAACACGUGGGUAACCUGCCUGUAAGACUGGGAUAACUCCGGGAAACCGGGGCUAAUACCGGAUGGUUGUUUGAACCGCAUGGUUCAAACAUAAAAGGUGGCUUCGGCUACCACUUACAGAUGGACCCGCGGCGCAUUAGCUAGUUGGUGAGGUAAUGGCUCACCAAGGCAACGAUGCGUAGCCGACCUGAGAGGGUGAUCGGCCACACUGGGACUGAGACACGGCCCAGACUCCUACGGGAGGCAGCAGUAGGGAAUCUUCCGCAAUGGACGAAAGUCUGACGGAGCAACGCCGCGUGAGUGAUGAAGGUUUUCGGAUCGUAAAGCUCUGUUGUUAGGGAAGAACAAGUACCGUUCGAAUAGGGCGGUACCUUGACGGUACCUAACCAGAAAGCCACGGCUAACUACGUGCCAGCAGCCGCGGUAAUACGUAGGUGGCAAGCGUUGUCCGGAAUUAUUGGGCGUAAAGGGCUCGCAGGCGGUUUCUUAAGUCUGAUGUGAAAGCCCCCGGCUCAACCGGGGAGGGUCAUUGGAAACUGGGGAACUUGAGUGCAGAAGAGGAGAGUGGAAUUCCACGUGUAGCGGUGAAAUGCGUAGAGAUGUGGAGGAACACCA
rnacentral:rRNA from 1 species